rnacentral:lncRNA from 10 species
AUUUUUGUGAAGAUUAUAUUUGGGAAUUAAUGUAAAGCAUUUAAUGCAAAGCUCAAAAAUUAGCAUUUAGUAAAAUACUAACUUAACAACAAGCAAAUAAUGAACCAGUCAACAAAGAUUUACUGGUGACAGUGACCUCAACUAUUUACCUGAGGCCACACACAGUAGCUCGUUGGUAAAGGUGGGAUGCGAGCACAUUUCUCUGUCUCUGGACUUCAUAGCCUCCCAUACUCAUUCCACUAGACCAGCCUGCCUACAGGAAACACUAAUGGCAGUGCCCUUAGCAGACCAGCUCCUGGGUUUCUUAACGUUUCACCCCAUUUCAUUCAGACCUGUUUUUUUUCAGAGCUGUGCCUAUUGUUAGAGAAACUUAACUCGGAGAGUUUUAAUAAUAUACUGAUUACAGGAGCAGAAGGUUUUUUGGAAGCUACUCCAGAAGUUAGGGGUGUUUAGCCCCAGCCCCAGGUAUACUAAGAGCAGGACUUGAUGGUUGGGGUUUUUAUCUCCAUCUGCCCCAGGAUUUCUGUGAAUGCAUUAGCCCAAAGCAGUCAGAACUUUGUGGCAGUCCUGACCAGACCACUUAAACUAUUCUGUGCCUCACUUUCUCCAGCUGCGAAAUGAGUAAACAGACAGCCCAUCUUCCUUCUCUUCCCUUCUCAGGAAAGUUGUAAAUAGGCUCACCCUACAUGUUAAGAGUUUAACUGUACCAUUUUAUAAAAUGAAAGAUUUCUUUUUUGAACAGCCUAACAAUAGCAUAUUAAGUUAUUU